UCAAUAGGUCAUGGUGUGUCCUCUGCAAGGGAUUGGGGGACCCUGGCCUCUUCUACUUCCUUCUUUUUGCACCUGGCUGUGAGAUGAACAGGGCUCCUCUGCUCCCAUUGGUGGUAUACUCUGCCACCUCAGUUCCCAAAGUAAUAGGGCCUGUUAAUUGUGAACUGAAGCCUCCAGAACUGUCAGCCAAAAUCAACCUUUCUCCUUUUUAAGUAUAUUUGUCUCAGGUAUUGUUUUACAGUAAUGAAAAGCUGACUGGCACAUUAAUUGAUAUGUAAGCUAAAGAAGACCAAGUAGAAUUAGAAGCGUUUGCCUUCUACACAGCGCUUCAUCUUGUUAGGUAAUAUCCCUCAUCCUUGUCCUGACUUCCCAAAGGAUCCAGAUUCACCACUGCUUUGUGACUUGAGAUAGUUUUGGGAGCCUUUUUACAGAUACACCAUUGCAAUCUUCAAGCCCACCUUGGCUUAAACCACACGAUGUCCUCUCCCUGUAAGCCUGAGGUGGCACCGCAGGCGCCUUUGGCUGAGCAUCCCCCAGCCCCAAGUGCAGCAGCCCAGGCAUUCACACAGUGUCUCUGCUCAGCCUCCACCUGACUAUCUUCCUUCUUUGCUUCUAAAUGCAGAUGCAAAAGACAAGCCAUUUCGGCAGAUUUGGGUCAAGGCUGGGUGGGGGUCAUGGUCUCAAAAAUUUGUCCUUAAAACAAAGGUCAGGAGUUGGAAACUGGCAACUGCUCAUCCAUGUUUACUUGAAGUGCGUUGGGACCUUGAAUGGCACUGUUUACUCAGAGCCUGUGUCAGUGAGGACAAUGUUUGGUUUCCCAGAGGCCGGGCUGGGAGGGAAGAAUUCUGGGAAACCAGAAUUGGGGCUAAAUGCCUCUAGUCCAAACAGCAGAGGAGCUGCUGGCUCCCACGUCUGCUGGGGCACUGUUGGGCUUCCGGGGCUCACUCCAGAUGAGCGCGCUGCAGGCUGGCUGGUGCUCUGAGGACUCUCGCCGUCUCUCACCUGCGGACAGACCUGUCAUGCGUCCACAGACUCUCCGGCUAAGUGAAGCAAAGUCGAGCUCUGAGAAGAGACCUUGGGGAGUUCGGUUCGGCUGCCUGGAUUUCAUUUUAAGAUUCUGAAGUCAUCACCUCUGCGCUGCAUUUCCUGAGUACUGCGCUGUCUCAGUGACGCUCGGGAGGAAAUGCCUCACCUCACUUUAUUUAGGUCUUUACCACAAAGUCCAGAUGCAGGCCAGGUGUGAGGUCACUGGCUGGCUCUGCCAGGGCCGAUUUACAACCAGGCAAAGGACCACUCAGUGGCAGGUCCCCACCCCUGGCGGGGCAAUUGCUCUUGGACUGCUCCGUGCUGAUUCCGUGUGGCCUGCCAGUGCUGGACUGUCUGGGGGACACAGGCAGGGUGACAGGAGGCCUGCUCCCUGUGUGGGCUCUGGGAUCACUCGGUGCAGUGCUUGCUCCCUUCCACGAUUGCCUGAGGGCAAUCACCUUUCUGUGCCGGGAAAGCCAGCCCCUGCCGCAGCCCAGGGACAGAUGGAGUGGGACAUGCUAUGGGUGUGUGUUGAGAACCUGUGUCUGAGCUUUUAGUAAUUGCUCCCUGGGCCUAACACCUUGAUAAAAACUUUUGCCCCUUUCUUCCCUCUCCUCUUUUCCCCAUAGCAAAUAUCAUGCUAAACCAAUAUUUCUUAAACAUCAGUGGACAUAAGUCCCCUAGAGGCCUGUGACACUAUGGAUUCUGACUCAGCAGCACGGUGCACAAGCUCCGGGGGAUGCUCAAGUUGUGACCUGGCCCUCAUUCUCCUUGACUCCAGGAGUAGCUUCUCGGCUCCGCCACGUGCUGUACCCACAGGGCUCUGGACACAGUCAUCACAGAUCAGCAUGGAGCCACAACCUGUCUGGUCUGGCAAUGGCAAGGAGUGAGGGUACAGGGGGAGACAUCUGUGAGAGGCUAAGACCGACUUACCCAUCAUCUAGGAAGGGGUGGCUAGGAGGCCGUCAGGCUGCAGAGAGGGCACAGAGAGUGGGGCGCAGAGCGGGGGUGUCAGGGUACCAGGGUCUGAUUCAAAAGAGAAGAGCCAAGGUUGGGGCAGGGCCGAGGGGCCUGGGUGUCUGCAGAGCCCUCAUGUGUCCCUGUGAGUGGGCUGUUCACUCUGCCCACCUGCUUCCUGGAGCCCAAGGAGCCCGGAAUGAACUGCGGCCACUCUACUGUGGGUCCAGCUCAACCACCUGGAGUGAAGGGGGUGGAAAUCUGGUGGAAUCAAGCACUGUGGGGCCUGAGGGUGCGUGACACCGGGUGAGCCACUGUGUCAGGGGAAGUACCUGUGGUGACAGUGGCUGAUGUCUGCUUCCUCAUCUCUGGUCCUGCUUCCGAGUGAGGUAGCUGUGGGCCUUCUGGUGGGGACAAGGAGGGGGAAGACACCCUCUGAGUCUGGGUGUCGCGGGGCUUGGUGCUGGCUCUGGCUACCACUGCACAACUCAGGGGAAUGGUCCUGGGAUUGAGGGGCCAGGCUGCACCCGGCCCAGAACCAGGUGACCACCAGUCUGGGUAUACAAGUCCAUGCACCUGGCCCUGAGCACAUUCCUUCCUGCCGCAUGACAGUCCCCUUGGGCCAGCUCCGAUGACACCAGGUACGUGGUGUUACCAUUGAAAUGCUGCAGAUUUUUUAUUGUGGUAUAAAAUUGUGUCUUAGAAAAUUGUUGCAAGAAUAAUACAAAGAAAUUCCUUUACCUUCAGCAGAUUUACCAGGUGCUAGCAUCUCGCUCCAUUUGCUCACAUCUUCUCUCUAAUACAAUCUCUAAGCAUAUUUCUUUUCUUACAUAUGUAGUACCACCUCUGUCCAUGUUCACACCUCUUCACACGUGUGUGUGCGUGUGUGCAUCCAUGUAUGUGUAUGUGUUGUGUUUAGAUAAGAGGCGUCCCCCCAAAACUCAUGUGUGAGACAAUGCAAGAAAGUUUAGAGAUGGAAUGAUCAGGUUGUGAUACUUUUAACCUAAUCAGUGCAAUAAUCCCUGAUGGGGAUUAGCUGGUGGUAACAGUAGGAUGUGGCUGGAGGAGGCGGGUCAAUGAGGUGUGCCUUUGGAGAAUAUAUUUUGUCCCUGGAGUGUGGGGCGCUCUCUGCUUCUUGGUGGCCAUGUCCUGGGCCACUUUUUUCUGCCACACUCUUUUACCAUGAAGUUCUACUUCAUUUCAGUCCCAAAGAAUGGAGUCAGCCAUCUAAGGACUGAGACCUCUAACCCCAUGAGCUCCCAAAUAAAAUCUUCCUCCUGUAAUUGUUCUUGACAGGUCUUUUGGUCACAGCAGCAAGAAAGCUGACCAAAACAGUAUGUGUGUCUGUGCCUAAAUUUGGGGGAAAGAACAACUUGGAAAGAGGUUGCAGACAUCUGGCUCUUAUCUGCUGUUAGCUUUCUGUUGCUAUGACAGAAUACUGGGGAAAAUAGACCCAGGGAGGGAGGAUUGGCCUGGCUCCUGCCUCAGAGCUCUUAGUGCAUGGUCAGUUGGCUCCAUUGCUCUGGAGGUGAGGCAGAUUAUCUUGGUGGAGCAAAGUUGCCCAACUCAUGGUGACCACGAGAGAGAGAGAGAGAGCGAGCGCGCGAGAGCGAGCAGAGACGGAGGGAGACCAAGGACCAGAUGUCUUUCAAGGGCAUAUCCUGGUGACCUUAUUCUCUGAACUAGGCCCCACCUCCUGAAGUGUCUAGCACCUCUCAAUACUGCCAUCAUCUAUGAACCCAUUAGUGGAUUGAUCCACCAGCGAGAUCAGAGCCCUCAUGGUCCAAUCACUUCCUAAACCCACCUCUGAAUACUGCCACACUGGGAACCAGCCUUCAAAACACAAGUCUUUGGGAGACAUUUGAGAUCCAGACCACCACUUCCCUCCAUACUUUUGGCACAUAUAUAUCCAAGAACACUGAUAUUCUCCUACAUCACUAGCAUGGCCACAUCCCCAGGCCAAUCCACUACUGUAUCCAAUACAAUACCCUUUAUGACACCUUUUAUCCUGCCAGGACCUUCCCCUGGACACAACAGUGCAUUUGGCUGUCUUCACACAAUGAUAUCAAGGGGAAGGAUCAUCUUUACUUUUUAUUUAAAAAUUUUUUUUAGUAAAGUGUAAAACCAGAGCCAAUGGCAUAAAAGUGACUUUUAUUCAAAGGCUAAGAAUCCACAAAUCCUUCCCCUUCAUCAGAAGGCAGAAUCUGUGACAAGGCACCUCCCUGGCUGACCUCCUCACACGUCUGCCUCUAGGGCAAGUGGCCGCAGUGACCGGCUUUCGGGGUGUAGGCCACAGGGCCACGGCAUCCUGAACAGCCUGUUCCGCGUUUGGAUUACAAAAAGGCGGCACCUGGCUCUCUGCUCUUGAGCCUGCCUUUAGGGCUGCUUCUGUGUUGAAGGGCAGAUGUCUGGCCGGCUCCUUGAUCAGAGGUGUAAUUACAAAUUUUGUUCUAACUCUGAAGAAAUGAAAACUUGCCAGCUAGGUUAAAGCUGUGAAUUCCCAGGUUCUGACUUGAUUUUUCUGUCCUUGCAUACUGAAUAGUAAUUCUUUGUCCCAGAGUGGUGUCGGUCACUCCCUUAACGUCCUUUCGUGACGUGCCUUCGGCUCUCUGAAGGCCUGUGUGGUGCAGAUAGAGUGAGAGGUGAGAAGGUGCUGGCUCCUGGCCACAAUCUGCAGGCCCUGAGCCAGGCGCAGCGUCCUGACCGGCUCUCAGGCAAUCUCCUGCUGCCCGCCUCGGAUGUGAGCCGGGGACCACAAGCAAAGGUAAGGUCAUUUUAGCCUGCCUUUUGUGUUAAAAAACAAACAAACAAAAAAAGAGGCAAAAGAAAAAGGAGACGUUUCAAAAAGCUUACUAAGUUCAUUACAUCUUUUACCAAGAGCAAAAUGUCCAGCAUGCUUUACAGGUAGGUAGGACACCCUUAAGGAACUACAUGUGGCCUGGGUCACUCAUGUGAUUUUUCCAUGGGACACUGGGGGAGGUGUUGCCUGCCUGAAUGCAUUGAUAGUGAUGGUGUAAUGACAAUCUGGGACACUUGCCUUCAUCUGCAGAAGAGGAGACUUUAGUGCACAGUGGUGUCAGUGACACAGCAGAGCCAGGCUGUCUUAGAGGUUGCCCUGAGGUCACACCUGGAGGCUGUCACUUCAGAGGUCCCCAGCACAGGGGUCACCGUGGUUCUACCACUGAUGGCAGUACUGUCAUUCAUUGCCACCAGAGCUGUCUGUGGGCUGCAGCUGCUCUGGGUCAGCCUGGUGUUGUCCUUUUAGGUGUAGCCCUCCUGGACGCAGCUCAACACCUUCAGGAAACCCAAGGUGGACGUUCCCAUCUCCUUAGGGGCCUUGCUAAGGCUUGUUCCACAUCAGGAGCCAGUGCUCCAAAGCUUGUGCUGCUUCUAGAUCCAUCUUGGCCGCUGCUGGGCCCCUGCUGGUCCUCCUGCCCUUGGCCUCCAGACCUGUUUGCCUCUCAGGGGUCAGCUGUUCACGUGUUGCCAUGAAGGAGCUUGGGGUGGGCUCACUUCUCUUAGGGGGAACUCUUGCCCUGGGAAAAUGUGAACAAGAACUAAUGUGCUUUGCCCUAUCAAUUACCUCACUUUCUCUAGUUCACUGAUUUUCCUCCACGUUUUUUAUUGGUGCAUCUUAGCUGUACCUAAGGUGGUGGGAUUUGUUGUGCAUAUUAGUACAUGCUCACGAUUUAACAAUAUGAUUUGGCCAACAUCACUCCCCAGUUCACCAAUUUUCUAUCAACAGAUUAAAAAAAAAAAAAAAAAAAAACUGAGGCCAAAGAGCUUUUGUUGCCUGAGGUCACAGAGUUGAUCAUCUCUGUAGCCCAGGUGUGAGCCCCCAGGAUUCAGAGACUCCUCCUGUGAGAACUUGGGGCCCACUGGAAGUUAGCCCCAGGCUAACUUCAAGGAACACUUCUUGCCUCGGUCUCACGCAGCCUCUAAGCAAUGUCCACAGUUGGAAUGGUGCCACGGCAGCCAGGCAGCAACCCCCGGAGUGCACACAGAGAACUUGUGCCGUGGGCUGGCUCCUGGGCCCCUCUCACCUUCUUUAUGACCCUGGACCAAAGGCUUCCAGAUCAAUGGGCUGGGGGCACCUCAGCCCAUCCUAGCAGAAGUAGGGUGUGUGAUGUCCCCCAGGCCCUUGCCUCUCCUUCAGGGUGAGUGCCACGUGAGCACAGCUUGGGUGUUGUGUUCUGAAGGAUGCAGGUGCAGAGUGUCUGCUGCUGUCCCCGUCCCCGAGGCUUCCUUGCCCCCUGUGGUCAAUUUUCUCUUCCCUUCUGGGAUUUCUCCCAUUUUCAGGGUUCAUUCUGCUGCCCCCCCAAAACCUCAGUUUGUGCGGCGCCAGCCUUCCUGAUGCUCCAAACCCAGCUGUUGCUGCAGCGGCUUCAGGCCUGCUUGAAUGCUCCUGCAGUCAGGCAGCUCACCACCGCGUUCAGCUAAGAAUCUUCCCCUCGGAGGACUGACUUAGGCCAUCGUCCCCCAGAAAAAGUCCAUGUGUGGUGCCAGCCCUGCGUCCGGUCCUGGUUCUCUGACGUCUGACCGUUCCGCGUGGCUGGAAACUCAGAGCAGGCGGUGGAGGGGAAGGCGGGCAGUGGCAGAGGCCGGGUUUGAGUGAGUCAUUGCCAGUCUUCAUGGUGUAACGGGGAGUCAUUCCAGGUUAGCGGUUUGUAAAGUGGUCAGCUCCAAGGGGAAUAGCCACCCCCGGGGAAUUUUAAAUAUAUAACAUGACAUCAAAGACCAAAGGUGCCCCAGGGCAUGGGUUUCUCAGCAGGGACCAGCAGGCUCACACUUGGAUGCCCUCAGAAAGCAGGUGAAGAGACCUGCUAAGAGCCACUUUCCCCACUUGGGAUCUCCAUUGAAUGGACACGAAGCCUGUGUGAGCUGUCACUGCCUGUCCCUCUGGCCACACUUGUCCUGGGUGGCCCCGCUGUGGUUCAGCUGAGAACUCUGCUUCCUGAGGAUGAGGAGAGUGGGAGAAGCUGUCUGGGAGACACUUUUAUGUGUUCCUGUCUCUGGGGAUCCCCUAAUGUGCCUGUGAACUGACCCCAACUGUUUAUGCAACAUUUUUUGAGCACCUGGUGCAUACCAGGAGAUGAUCUUGGGUCAUGAUUCCCUUUCCUGUGUUGUCCCAUCCGUCAGGGCAAGGUUGUUGUGAAGGACAAAGGACAAAGGGGACAAGGACUUGAGGAGGUGAGGAGCCACGUGCCUUGGGUGUGGGGAAGGAGUACCCUGUGGCGAGGACAGGUGGGCAGUGGGGAGGAGUCAGUGUUGGAACUGGGUUGAUUGGAUCAGCACUUGUCCCCUGUUGGUCUGACCCUGACUGACAGCCUGAAGUCCUCCGUGAGUGUUAGCCUCAGGUCGGGCCCUAAUGUGAAGCCUGAACUUGGCCUCUGACCUCAGCUGGCCGUGGACCUGGACCAGUCCCUGUGUCUCAGCUCUGCCUCAGCUCUGGCUCUGUGAAUCUGCCCCUUACCCAAAGAUCCCUGGAUGACCCUUGCCACUCAGCCUUCCAGGCUCGGGGUUCCUGCCCCACCACCCUGGAGGACCUCCCCGAGGCCGGCUCCUAACCCAGCCCUGCUUUCCCUCCAUGCAUCUGUGCUCUGAGAUCCACACUGUCACCCACUCACCACCGCUGGGCCACUGUGAGCACCAACCUAGCUCAGGCCUAGUGUCCCCUGCUGCAGUCCCUGUGGAAACAGCUCCUGCAGUGCUAGCCCACUCUGCUCUGGCUCCAGCGUGGCUCACCCUCGACCCCUCCUGCCUGUCUUCCUGAAAGUUAGCUAAUGGCAAGGCGUCUUUGGCUGGGGCCUCACACUUGGCUGGUGACUGCCAUUGCACAUGUCAUAAGGUAAGCAUGAUCAUAGGAGGGAGAAAGAAGCUGCUCCUCCGGGGAGCAGGGAUGACACCAGGGUCCAUGAAUGAUGGCUCCCAGUGCCAGCUGCCAGUAAGCCUCAUGGUGACUUGUUGCAGACUAGGACUCAGGCUAAGACCUUCCAAGGCCACUCAGAACGUGAGAGGUGGUCAGGUUAGACCUGCAUCCAUGGGGUUGGCUGGCCCUGCUGUGCUUCUCAGAGCUGGGUGAUCACUUGUCCACCUGCUGCUGAAGUCAUCAGGUCCUGGAGGAGCUGCCCUUCCUCUGAAGCUACCGUCUCAGGUGCAGAGGUUGGGGACCUUGGAGGGCUUCCCCGGGCAGCGUCCCUCGUCACAGCUUCUGGGCCAGGCAGUCCAGGGCUUAACAGUCCUCGCCAUCUGACCUGAAUUCCUCCUGCUGUAAUUUAAGUCAACCUUCUCUGACUCGGCCCCGAGUGACACCGAGGCCUCGGUCCUUUGUCACUGCCCCCCACCCCCUGCCCCUAAAUGCAGCACCUGUGCACAGGCACUGGAGGUGACUGAGGCCUGCUAUUGCUGGCACUCUGCCUCAAUGUCCACUUCAAGAACGGUGCAGCUCUCAGACGCCAAGUGGUCCUGGGGACCUGGUGGGAGGUGGGGGAGGGCCGGUCUGGCUUGGUAGUCGGCAGCUGCAUGAGAGCCUUGUGGUCCGGGCUCCAGCUCCAUUUGUUACUGUGUGGACCAGGCUCCCAGCCCCAGGGCCUUUGAGGCUGUCUCUCAGGAAGGCCCUGCUGACCCCGUUCCUGGAGGUCCCAGCUUUUGUGCCAUGGGCUCUUGGGCACGUUGGUUUGGAAUUAUGUUCAUUGUCAGUCUUUCCCCUGGGACAGCCAUAGCAAAGUUCCAGAAACUGGGACCCAAAUGACAGGGAGUUAUUCUCUCACAGUUCUGGAGGCUGUUUUUAGGGCUCUGCUCCCUCUAAAGGUGCGAGGGGACCCUUUUGCCCCCAGCUCCUCUGGUUGCUGGCCAUUCUGCACCCCUUGGCCCUCAGGGCCCUGCUCCAGGCUCCUCCGGUUGUCACACAGCCUUCUGUCUGGGUGCUGUGUCCCUACUUCCCUCUUCUAUAGGAACCCAAGCCACACUGCCAGAGGGCCACCCUACUCCAGUGUGGCCUCAUCAUAACUUGAUCACAGGUGAAGAGACCCUGAUCCCAAGGAAGGCCACGUUCACAGGCUCCUCAUCCAAGAGAAGUCCCACAGGUGCCGCCAUCGCCCCUUUUCUGGUAUAUUCGAUCUUCCAGUGUGGGUGUUCUGCAUCAUCGUCUCCCCACCACCACCCUUCCUCCUGCUCUCGCUUCCUGUUUUCUGCCUCUCCUCUGAGCUGUUCCAGAAGUUGAAACUGCCGGGGCUGAGCCCGACUUGAGAAGGUGUGCUUUCUUCUUCGAGUGAGAAUCAGCGACGGAGCAGUCUCCUGGCUCCAUCCCACACGCCCUGCAGCUUGCACAGGGCGCAGCCCCUGACCACUGCGGGGGCGGGCGGUGCCACGGCGCCUUCUCCUGCCGGGCCCCCUUCACUGUGGGCAGGACCAACCCUUCCCAGCUGCACCUCCAAGGCGGCUCUGGGCUCGUCGCAGCAAAUCCACAGGAUUGGUGUCACUUUAAGCACAUCAGCUUAGGCUCCCUGCACGGCUGUUUUGCAGGACCAGUUGCCUCUGCCCACGUGGGGCCAUGGCACGCAGUGGGCAGACGGGGCAGAGCUGGCUCUGGAUUACCCCCAGAGCUGGGCUUCUGGCAUUUUCUCUGGCCUGCUGAGGCUGCUGACCCAAACUCUGGGACCACACAACAGGGAUAAAGGCUUUCAGACUCAACUAAUGUUCCCCAAACCACUCACUGUUGACGUUACAAGAGGCAGACUGUCAGAGACUGUCCAGAUGGAAGUGGGGAAGGUCUCACAAACAAGGGGGCAGGGCUGUGUUCAGCACCGCAGGGACCCUGAGCCAGAGUGGCCGGGACGGUGCUCCAAGCCCCAUACACACCUGUCCUCGCAGGCCAGAGGAGGGCAGACACCCUGGAUCAAAGGGAGGACCUCACAGUGUGGCUGGCAGAGAGAGGAGAGGUGGGCAGUCAGAGACUCCAGGGAUCGACUCUCUGAUAGCCCGUGGACAUCUCUGCUGAGACAGCCUGCCACGCACACCACAGCCCCAGCAACCCCAGGCCCAAGGCCACGGCCAGGUUAUUUCAGAUCAACACGGGUCCCAAUACACCUGUCAGCCCACAAGUCCCACAUGCACUGAGCAUCUCCCAUUGUUCACCCCAAGUGAACUGUCCUGGACUGGGGGCUGGCCCCAUGUGGAAGAGGGGAGGCGGGGCUGAGCAAGAGGUCAUGGUGGGAAGACGCCAUCCCAGGGUACCAGGACUGAGAGGAGGCCACGCUCUGACCAACAGGGAAGUGUCCUGGGGCCCCAUAACAAAGCACCACAGAGGCUUCAACAACAGAGCUCUGUUCUCUCGCAGGCCUGAGACCAAGGUGUGGGCAGCGCUGGUGCCCCUGGAGGCGCCAAGUGCAUUUGUCCCUUGUGUCCCCUGCCUUCUGGAGUUGCCGACCCUCCCUGCCUUUCAUGGACUGCAAACGCACCUCCACUCCCUGCCUCCUGUCCCUUGUGCAUCUCGUCUCCCUCUCCUUUCUCCUAGGAAGACAUCCGUCAUUGGAUUUAGGGUCCACCUUAAUCUGGGAUGGCUCACAAAGACCCUGUUUCUAAAUAAACUCGUGUUCAUAGGUGUCA